rnacentral:rRNA from 9 species
UACAUGACUCUCGGCAACGGAUAUCUCGGCUCUUGCAUCGAUGAAGAAUGUAGCGAAAUGCGAUACUUGGUGUGAAUUGCAGAAUCCUGUGAACCAUCGAGUCUUUGAACGCAA